rnacentral:rRNA from 1 species
AUACGGAGGGUGCAAGCGUUGUCCGGAAUCAUUGGGCGUAAAGAGUUCGUAGGCGGUUUGUUAAGUUUGGUGUUAAAUACUGAGGCUCAACCUCAGCACGGCACUGGAUACUGGCAGACUUGAAUGCGGUAGAGGUAAAGGGAAUUCCUGGUGUAGCGGUGAAAUGCGUAGAUAUCAGGAGGAACAUCGGUGGCGUAAGCGCUUUACUGGGCCGUUAUUGACGCUGAGGAACGAAAGCCAGGGUAGC